GGGUUGUGAGGUUAAGCGACUAAGCGUACACGGUGGAUGCCCUGGCAGUCAGAGGCGAUGAAGGACGUGCUAAUCUGCGAUAAGCGUCGGUAAGGUGAUAUGAACCGUUAUAACCGGCGAUUUCCGAAUGGGGAAACCCAGUGUGUUUCGACACACUAUCAUUAACUGAAUCCAUAGGUUAAUGAGGCGAACCGGGGGAACUGAAACAUCUAAGUACCCCGAGGAAAAGAAAUCAACCGAGAUUCCCCCAGUAGCGGCGAGCGAACGGGGAGGAGCCCAGAGCCUGAAUCAGUGUGUGUGUUAGUGGAAGCGUCUGGAAAGGCGCGCGAUACAGGGUGACAGCCCCGUACACAAAAAUGCACAUGCUGUGAGCUCGAUGAGUAGGGCGGGACACGUGGUAUCCUGUCUGAAUAUGGGGGGACCAUCCUCCAAGGCUAAAUACUCCUGACUGACCGAUAGUGAACCAGUACCGUGAGGGAAAGGCGAAAAGAACC
rnacentral:rRNA from 1 species